rnacentral:rRNA from 1 species
CUUAACCGGGCGUUAAGUUGCAGGGUAUAGACCCGAAACCCGGUGAUCUAGCCAUGGGCAGGUUGAAGGUUGGGUAACACUAACUGGAGGACCGAACCGACUAAUGUUGAAAAAUUAGCGGAUGACCUGUGGCUGGGGGUGAAAGGCCAAUCAAACCGGGAGAUAGCUGGUUCUCCCCGAAAGCUAUUUAGGUAGCGCCUCGUGAAUUCAUCUCCGGGGGUAGAGCACUGUUUCGGCUAGGGGGCCAUCCCGGCUUACCAACCCGAUGCAAACUGCGAAUACCGGAGAAUGUUAUCACGGGAGACACACGGCGGGUGCUAACGUCCGUCGUGAAGAGGGAAACAACCCAGACCGCCAGCUAAGGUCCCAAAGUCAUGGUUAAGUGGGAAACGAUGUGGGAAGGCCCAGACAGCCAGGAUGUUGGCUUAGAAGCAGCCAUCAUUUAAAGAAAGCGUAAUAGCUCACUGGUCGAGUCGGCCUGCGCGGAAGAUGUAACGGGGCUAAACCAUGCACCGAAGCUGCGGCAGCGACACUCAGGUGUUGUUGGGUAGGGGAGCGUUCUGUAAGCCUGCGAAGGUGGCCUGUGAGGGUUGCUGGAGGUAUCAGAAGUGCGAAUGCUGACAUAAGUAACGAUAAAGCGGGUGAAAAGCCCGCUCGCCGGAAGACCAAGGGUUCCUGUCCAACGUUAAUCGGGGCAGGGUGAGUCGACCCCUAAGGCGAGGCCGAAAGGCGUAGUCGAUGGGAAACGGGUUAAUAUUCCCGUACUUGGUGUUACUGCGAAGGGGGGACGGAGAAGGCUAUGUUGGCCGGGCGACGGUUGUCCCGGUUUAAGCGUGUAGGUGUGUGUUCCAGGUAAAUCCGGUUCACUUUAACACUGAGGCGUGACGACGAGGCACUACGGUGCUGAAGCAACAAAUGCCCUGCUUCCAGGAAAAGCCUCUAAGCAUCAGGUAACAUCAAAUCGUACCCCAAACCGACACAGGUGGUCAGGUAGAGAAUACCAAGGCGCUUGAGAGAACUCGGGUGAAGGAACUAGGCAAAAUGGUGCCGUAACUUCGGGAGAAGGCACGCUGACAUGUAGGUGAAGUGAUUUACUCAUGGAGCUGAAGUCAGUCGAAGAUACCAGCUGGCUGCAACUGUUUAUUAAAAACACAGCACUGUGCAAACACGAAAGUGGACGUAUACGGUGUGACGCCUGCCCGGUGCCGGAAGGUUAAUUGAUGGGGUCAGCGCAAGCGAAGCUCCUGAUCGAAGCCCCGGUAAACGGCGGCCGUAACUAUAACGGUCCUAAGGUAGCGAAAUUCCUUGUCGGGUAAGUUCCGACCUGCACGAAUGGCGUAAUGAUGGCCAGGCUGUCUCCACCCGAGACUCAGUGAAAUUGAACUCGCUGUGAAGAUGCAGUGUACCCGCGGCAAGACGGAAAGACCCCGUGAACCUUUACUAUAGCUUGACACUGAACAUUGAGCCUUGAUGUGUAGGAUAGGUGGGAGGCUUUGAAGUGUGGACGCCAGUCUGCAUGGAGCCGACCUUGAAAUACCACCCUUUAAUGUUUGAUGUUCUAACGUGGACCCGUGAUCCGGGUUGCGGACAGUGUCUGGUGGGUAGUUUGACUGGGGCGGUCUCCUCCUAAAGAGUAACGGAGGAGCACGAAGGUUGGCUAAUCCUGGUCGGACAUCAGGAGGUUAGUGCAAUGGCAUAAGCCAGCUUGACUGCGAGCGUGACGGCGCGAGCAGGUGCGAAAGCAGGUCAUAGUGAUCCGGUGGUUCUGAAUGGAAGGGCCAUCGCUCAACGGAUAAAAGGUACUCCGGGGAUAACAGGCUGAUACCGCCCAAGAGUUCAUAUCGACGGCGGUGUUUGGCACCUCGAUGUCGGCUCAUCACAUCCUGGGGCUGAAGUAGGUCCCAAGGGUAUGGCUGUUCGCCAUUUAAAGUGGUACGCGAGCUGGGUUUAGAACGUCGUGAGACAGUUCGGUCCCUAUCUGCCGUGGGCGCUGGAGAACUGAGGGGGGCUGCUCCUAGUACGAGAGGACCGGAGUGGACGCAUCACUGGUGUUCGGGUUGUCAUGCCAAUGGCACUGCCCGGUAGCUAAAUGCGGAAGAGAUAAGUGCUGAAAGCAUCUAAGCACGAAACUUGCCCCGAGAUGAGUUCUCCCUGAGACUUUAAGUCUCCUGAAGGAACGUUGAAGACGACGACGUUGAUAGGCCGGGUGU